GUACACGGUGGAUGCCCUGGCAGUCAGAGGCGAUGAAGGACGUGCUAAUCUGCGAUAAGCGUCGGUAAGGUGAUAUGAACCGUUAUAACCGGCGAUUUCCGAAUGGGGAAACCCAGUGUGAUUCGUCACACUAUCAUUAACUGAAUCCAUAGGUUAAUGAGGCGAACCGGGGGAACUGAAACAUCUAAGUACCCCGAGGAAAAGAAAUCAACCGAGAUUCCCCCAGUAGCGGCGAGCGAACGGGGAGGAGCCCAGAGCCUGAAUCAGUGUGUGUGUUAGUGGAAGCGUCUGGAAAGGCGCGCGAUACAGGGUGACAGCCCCGUACACAAAAAUGCACAUACUGUGAGCUCGAUGAGUAGGGCGGGACACGUGGUAUCCUGUCUGAAUAUGGGGGGACCAUCCUCCAAGGCUAAAUACUCCUGACUGACCGAUAGUGAACCAGUACCGUGAGGGAAAGGCGAAAAGAACCCCGGCGAGGGGAGUGAAAAAGAACCUGAAACCGUGUACGUACAAGCAGUGGGAGCCUCUUAAUGGGGUGACUGCGUACCUUUUGUAUAAUGGGUCAGCGACUUAUAUUCUGUAGCAAGGUUAACCGAAUAGGGGAGCCGAAGGGAAACCGAGUCUUAACUGGGCGUUAAGUUGCAGGGUAUAGACCCGAAACCCGGUGAUCUAGCCAUGGGCAGGUUGAAGGUUGGGUAACACUAACUGGAGGACCGAACCGACUAAUGUUGAAAAAUUAGCGGAUGACUUGUGGCUGGGGGUGAAAGGCCAAUCAAACCGGGAGAUAGCUGGUUCUCCCCGAAAGCUAUUUAGGUAGCGCCUCGUGAAUUCAUCUCCGGGGGUAGAGCACUGUUUCGGCAAGGGGGUCAUCCCGACUUACCAACCCGAUGCAAACUGCGAAUACCGGAGAAUGUUAUCACGGGAGACACACGGCGGGUGCUAACGUCCGUCGUGAAGAGGGAAACAACCCAGACCGCCAGCUAAGGUCCCAAAGUCAUGGUUAAGUGGGAAACGAUGUGGGAAGGCCCAGACAGCCAGGAUGUUGGCUUAGAAGCAGCCAUCAUUUAAAGAAAGCGUAAUAGCUCACUGGUCGAGUCGGCCUGCGCGGAAGAUGUAACGGGGCUAAACCAUG
rnacentral:rRNA from 1 species